rnacentral:rRNA from 1 species
UACGGAGGGUGCAAGCGUUAUCCGGAUUUACUGGGUUUAAAGGGUGUGUAGGCGGAUUAUUAAGUCAGCGGUGAAAUCUCCGGGCUCAACCCGGAAACUGCCAUUGAUACUAUUAGUCUUGAAUAUUGUUGAGGUGGGCGGAACGGGUCAUGUAGCGGUGAAAUGCAUAGAUAUGACCCGGAACACCGAUUGCGAAGGCAGCCCACUAAGCAAUGAUUGACGCUGAGGCACGAAAGCAUGGGAUCG